rnacentral:lncRNA from 1 species
GGCCCGUAUGCAUUAUUGAAAUCCUAUUUAUAUGAAAAGGGUAGGGUACUACAAAUCCAGCGGCACCCCCCAUCAGUUAAAUUUUGAUGUCCCCUCCCCUCCGAGAUCUGCUGUUAUUACAUGUACUAAUAUGUUUAUUUUUUUUGUUUAUCAUCACUCGGUUAAAGAGCCCUAAAAGCUUAUGUUCUUUGGUUAGUAAUUAGUGGAUCCAGUCAUGAUUUUUAAAAAGGGUUUCCAAUUACAUGUAGUAUCAAAAGGGGGUGCCUAACCAUUUGACCCCAUUCAAUAGCAUUGAUCGUCAAAAACAGGGGGUGGUUGGACCCGGCACUGUGGCCCGCGUCCCCUUUAAUACAAUGCUUUUGCUGUAAUCUAUAUAGGAGGGGGAGGACAGGGGGUACCCUUCUCCCACCCCUCUUCUCCUUUCUCCUACCCCUCUUCUCCUUAUUUUAUUUUUUUUUUAAUUUACCGGGAAAAAGAGAGAUAUUUUAUUUUUUCAUAUUUUAUUUUUUUCUCCAACUUUUUCUCCUUUCUCCCAGCCUUCCUCUCCUUUCUCCUACCCCCUUUCUCCUUUCUCCCACCCCCUUUCUCCUACCCCCUUUCUUCCUGUCUCCCUUAAAUUACCCCUGUCCUCCCCCUCAUAUAGAUACGUUUGCUUGCGUAACGGUUCAUAGUCCGAAGCCGAUGGGUCAUUGGCUAACAGUUUGUUGAAGAACAUUCAUGCAGACAAUUUAAAUCAAGAAGUGCUGACAUUAUUUUUUAAAUAUUUAUUGCACGUACUAUGGUCUACUUAAUGUACUGACUAUUAUAUUCAUAAACAUUAUAUUAAAAAAA